AAAUAGCCCUGAUGGACGUGGAUCCCGAUUUUUCAUCGGGAGGAACAUACGACAGGAAUUGCG
rnacentral:misc_RNA from 1 species